UGCAGUCGAACGAUGAAGCCCUUCGGGGUGGAUUAGUGGCGAACGGGUGAGUAACACGUGGGCAAUCUGCCCUUCACUCUGGGACAAGCCCUGGAAACGGGGUCUAAUACCGGAUAACACUCUGUCCCGCAUGGGACGGGGUUAAAAGCUCCGGCGGUGAAGGAUGAGCCCGCGGCCUAUCAGCUUGUUGGUGGGGUAAUGGCCUACCAAGGCGACGACGGGUAGCCGGCCUGAGAGGGCGACCGGCCACACUGGGACUGAGACACGGCCCAGACUCCUACGGGAGGCAGCAGUGGGGAAUAUUGCACAAUGGGCGAAAGCCUGAUGCAGCGACGCCGCGUGAGGGAUGACGGCCUUCGGGUUGUAAACCUCUUUCAGCAGGGAAGAAGCGAAAGUGACGGUACCUGCAGAAGAAGCGCCGGCUAACUACGUGCCAGCAGCCGCGGUAAUACGUAGGGCGCAAGCGUUGUCCGGAAUUAUUGGGCGUAAAGAGCUCGUAGGCGGCUUGUCACGUCGGAUGUGAAAGCCCGGGGCUUAACCCCGGGUCUGCAUUCGAUACGGGCUAGCUAGAGUGUGGUAGGGGAGAUCGGAAUUCCUGGUGUAGCGGUGAAAUGCGCAGAUAUCAGGAGGAACACCGGUGGCGAAGGCGGAUCUCUGGGCCAUUACUGACGCUGAGGAGCGAAAGCGUGGGGAGCGAACAGGAUUAGAUACCCUGGUAGUCCACGCCGUAAACGUUGGGAACUAGGUGUUGGCGACAUUCCACGUCGUCGGUGCCGCAGCUAACGCAU
rnacentral:rRNA from 1 species